GUGAACGCUGGCGGUAGGCCUAACACAUGCCAGUCGAACGGCAGCACAGUAAGCGCUUGCUCUUACGGGUGGCGAGUGGCGGACGGGUGAGGAAUACAUCGGAAUCUACUUUUUCGUGGGGGAUAACGUAGGGAAACUUACGCUAAUACCGCAUACGACCUACGGGUGAAAGCAGGGGAUCUUCGGACCUUGCGCGAUUGAAUGAGCCGAUGUCGGAUUAGCUAGUUGGCGGGGUAAAGGCCCAUCAAGGCGACGAUCCGUAGCUGGUCUGAGAGGAUGAUCAGCCACACUGGAACUGAGACACGGUCCAGACUCCUACGGGAGGCAGCAGUGGGGAAUAUUGGACAAUGGGCGCAAGCCUGAUCCAGCCAUACCGCGUGGGUGAAGAAGGCCUUCGGGUUGUAAAGCCCUUCUGUUGGGAAAGAAAAGCAGCAGGUUAAUACCCCGCUGUUCUGACGGUACCCAAAGAAUAAGCACCGGCUAACUUCGUG
rnacentral:rRNA from 1 species